ACCAGACUCCUACGGGAGGCAGCAGUGGGGGAUAUUGGACAAUGGGGGGAACCCUGAUCCAGCGAUGCCGCGUGAGGGAAGAAGGUUUUCGGAUUGUAAACCUCUUUCAGCAGGGAAGACAAAAGGACGGUACCUGACUAAGAAGCCCCGGCUAACUACGUGCCAGCAGCCGCGGUAAUACGUAGGUGGCAAGCGUUGUCCGGAAUUACUGGGUGUAAAGGGAGCGUAGGCGGGAAGCCAAGUCAGCUGUGAAAACUACGGGCUUAACCUGUAGACUGCAGUUGAAACUGGCUUUCUUGAGUGAAGUAGAGGUUGGCGGAAUUCCGAGUGUAGCGGUGAAAUGCGUAGAUAUUCGGAGGAACACCGGUGGCGAAGGCGGCCAACUGGGCUUUAACUGACGCUGAGGCUCGAAAGUGUGGGGAGCAAACAGGAUUAGAUACCCCCGUAG
rnacentral:rRNA from 1 species